GUGGGGAAUAUUGGACAAUGGGCGAAAGCCUGAUCCAGCCAUGCCGCGUGUGUGAAGAAGGUCUUCGGAUUGUAAAGCACUUUAAGUUGGGAGGAAGGGUAGUAACCUAAUACGUUGCUACUUUGACGUUACCGACAGAAUAAGCACCGGCUAACUUCGUGCCAGCAGCCGCGGUAAUACGAAGGGUGCAAGCGUUAAUCGGAAUUACUGGGCGUAAAGCGCGCGUAGGUGGUUCAGUAAGUUGGAAGUGAAAUCCCCGGGCUCAACCUGGGAACUGCUUUCAAAACUGCUGAGCUAGAGUACGGUAGAGGGUGGUGGAAUGUCCUGUGUAGCGGUGAAAUGCGUAGAUAUAGGAAGGAACACCAGUGGCGAAGGCGACCACCUGGACUGAUACUGACACUGAGGUGCGAAAGCGUGGGGAGCAAACAGGAUUAGAAACCCCAGUAGUCC
rnacentral:rRNA from 1 species